rnacentral:rRNA from 1 species
UACGUAGGGUGCGAGCGUUAAUCGGAAUUACUGGGCAUAAAGAGCACGUAGGUGGUCUGCUAAGUCGUGUGUGAAAUCCCCCGGCUCAACCGGGGAAUUGCGCUCGAUACUGGCAGGCUCGAGGUGGGUAGGGGUGAGCGGAACUCCAGGUGGAGCGGUGAAAUGCGUAGAUAUCUGGAGGAACACCGGUGGCGAAAGCGGCUCACUGGACCCAAUCUGACACUGAGGUGCGAAAGCUAGGGUAGCAAACGGG